rnacentral:rRNA from 1 species
CCUACGGGUGGCAGCAGUGGGGAAUAUUGGGCAAUGGGCGCAAGCCUGACCCAGCAACGCCGCGUGAGGGAAGAAGUCUUUCGGUUUGUAAACUUCUUUUAUCAGGGACGAAGCAGGUGACGGUACCUUAUGAAUCAGCCACGGCUAACUUCGUGCCAGCCGCCGCGGUACUACGUCGGUGGCACGCGUUAUCCGGAUUUGCUGGGUGUAAAGGGGGUGUCGGCGGGAGUGCAAGUCAGAGGUGAAAACUAGGGGGUCAACCCAUAGCCUGCAGUGGAAACUGUACUGCUGGAGUGAUGGAGAGGCAAGCGGAAUUCCGUGUGUAGCGGUGAAAUGCGUAGAUAUACGGAGGAACACCAGUGGCGAAGGCGGAUUGCUGGACAGUAACUGACGCUGAGGCGCGAAAGCGUGGGGAGCAAACAGGAUUAGAUACCCGGGUAGUC